rnacentral:tRNA from 1 species
GGGGAUGUGGUGAAAUAGGUAAACGCAGCGGGUCGAGAGCCCGCCGCCUGAUGGCUUGAGGGUUCAAGUCCCUCCAUCCCCACCA